GUUGUGACGAAAUUAAUGCAGUAUAAAACAUAUAAAAGUAGUUUUAUUUAUACUAUUAUUUGUUUUAUUAUAUUUAUGAAAUAUGGAUCUGUUGUGCGCACCCUCCCCCCACCAAUGGCUAUCGAACAUGCGCUUUGCUUUACAAUGUCUAUAAGUGCAGCAAGAUAAUAAACAACAGAGUCAAGCGAUAUAGAAACCGAUCCAAAUUCUUGACUGAAUUUUCUGAUUCCCAUAAAAAUAAACUAUACAUAAACACAUAGAAACGACAUCUUGCCGUAAAUUUUGAACAGCAUAAAGGGAUAAUGCAUAGAACUUUUAAGGAUGAUGUAGAAGCGUGAGUAUGUUUUCGUCCAAAGCCUACUAGAGGGCUCAUCAUCAGGCUUUACCUAGCAGGUUCACGCUUUAGACACCAGGAUAGGAUAAGAUUUCAGAAAUUGUAUUUGUAAAUGGUGCUUGUUGCCAGAGCAUGAAUGAGAGAGUACUUUUGUCAUCGAAUCAGCAACCAUCUGGUGGCAAAUUGGGGAGUCUCCCAACGAACUUAGAAUAAAGAUAUAGUAUGCGCACAACACACACACACACAGUCUAUCCAAUGAGACGAGACAGUAAACGUAAACAAAAUUUGAUUACGUAUAUAUGUACCUAUCUUUAAAAUUGAAAUAAAAAAGGUAAUGUAUGGAAAUAGUUGGUACAUAAAAUAUUCUAUUUGUGGUAAGAAAUAAGUUUUUUAGUAUAUAAAUAAAAAAUCUGAACAGAGACUCAAAGAACGAUCUUCUCCAAGUAUUUAGAAGUUAAAUAUCAAGUAAGAGACAGAAAUGACACUGAUAAUAUUUGCUUUAAUUCAGAUAGUAUUUAUUUGAUAGGUAUAUAAUACAUUGAAUUUGUCAGCACAAGUGAGAGAAAACACACUUCUCGGCGACUAAUACUUGCUUGCUCUUAUAUUCCUACACUACUGUAACCGAAUGUACUUUUCUUCUUGUCCAUGGAACGGAGUUUCUUUUUUCUCUUUUUUUUUUUUUCUUUAAUUAUCAACUUUUUAU